AAUUGAAGAGUUUGAUCAUGGCUCAGAUUGAACGCUGGCGGCAGGCCUAACACAUGCAAGUCGAACGGUAACAGGAAGCAGCUUGCUUCUUUGCUGACGAGUGGCGGACGGGGGAGUAAUGUCUGGGAAACUGCCUGAUGGAGGGGGAUAACUACUGGAAACGGUAGCUAAUACCGCAUAACGUCGCAAGACCAAAGAGGGGGACCUUCGGGCCUCUUGCCAUCGGAUGUGCCCAGAUGGGAUUAGCUUGUUGGUGGGGUAACGGCUCACCAAGGCGACGAUCCCUAGCUGGUCUGAGAGGAUGACCAGCCACACUGGAACUGAGACACGGUCCAGACUCCUACGGGAGGCAGCAGUGGGGAAUAUUGCACAAUGGGCGCAAGCCUGAUGCAGCCAUGCCGCGUGUAUGAAGAAGGCCUUCGGGUUGUAAAGUACUUUCAGCGGGGAGGAAGGGAGUAAAGUUAAUACCUUUGCUCAUUGACGUUACCGGCAGAAGAAGCACCGGCUAACUCCGUGCCAGCAGCCGCGGUAAUACGGAGGGUGCAAGCGUUAAUCGGAAUUACUGGGCGUAAAGCGCACGCAGGCUGUUUGUUAAGUCAGAUGUNAAA
rnacentral:rRNA from 1 species